rnacentral:ncRNA from 19 species
ACUCUUUCCCUGUUGCACUACU